rnacentral:rRNA from 1 species
CCUACGGGGUGCUGCAGUAGGGAAUCUUCCACAAUGGGCGAAAGCCUGAUGGAGCAACGCCGCGUGGGUGAAGAAGGUCUUCGGAUCGUAAAACCCUGUUGUUAGAGAAGAAAGUGCGUGAGAGUAACUGUUCACGUUUCGACGGUAUCUAACCAGAAAGCCACGGCUAACUACGUGCCAGCAGCCGCGGGAAUACGUAGGUGGCAAGCGUUAUCCGGAUUUAUUGGGCGUAAAGGGAACGCAGGCGGUCUUUUAAGUCUGAUGUGAAAGCCUUCGGCUUAACCGGAGUAGUGCAUUGGAAACUGGGAGACUGGAGUGCAGAAGAGGAGAGUGGAACUCCAUGUGUAGCGGUGAAAUGCGGAGAUAUAUGGAAGAACACCAGUGGCGAAAGCGGCUCUCUGGUCUGUAACUGACGCUGAGGUUCGAAAGCGUGGGUAGCAAACAGGAUUAGAUACCCUGGUAGUC